GGUUUUGUGGUCUAGUUGGUUAUGUCAUCUGCUUAACACGCAGAACGUCCCCAGUUCGAUCCUGGGCAAAAUCA
rnacentral:tRNA from 1 species